AAAGUCGUAACAAGGUUUCCGUAGGUGAACCUGCGGAAGGAUCAUUAUUGAAUAAAUCUGAUGUGGUUGUAGCUGACUCUCCGGAGUAUGUGCACACCCGUCACCUUUAUAUUUCCACCUGUGCACACACUGUAGUCCUGGAUACCUCUCGUCGCAAGGCGGAUGCGGAGUUUGCCGUGCCAUCGCAAGACGGUCGGCUCACUCUGAAUUUCCAGGUCUAUGAUUUUACAAACCCCAAACGUAUGUUACAGAAUGUUAUCAUCAGGCCUUGUGCCUAUAAAAAUUAUACAACUUUCAGCAACGGAUCUCUUGGCUCUC
rnacentral:misc_RNA from 1 species